rnacentral:lncRNA from 1 species
AAAUAAAGCUGUGUCCUGAUCUUCACCUGUCAGCAUCCAAUGUCUAUUUCUCAAUUACAUCCACACGGGUGGAGGAAGAGGGAUGCCAUGUAUUGGAUGCCAGUUACUGUCGACCUCAAAACAUCAACGAACUCAAUCUGUCACUGUUCCAGGGACAUCGCUGUACGGGUACCUGGGAAUGUUCGUGCUGGCCUGAUGUCCAGAUCUGCUGACCCUGAUGCCCAAGAUGCCCGCAGUCUUCUGCUGCCACAGUCGUACAAGAUCUCCACCACUUAUCUCCUGGGGAAGAAUUCAAGAGGCCUCCAAGGUCACAGGUACUUAAAAAAACUAGUAAGGAUUCUAAAAAUCUUAUCUCUAACAUUUUUUCCUCCUCCUCCUCCUCCUCUUCCUCCUUCUCCUCUUCCUUCUUUUCUUCCUCCUUCUCCUCCUCCUCCUCUUCCCCCUUCUUUUCCUCCUCCUUCUUCUCCCUAUCCUUUCAGUGCUGGGGGCUGAGUCCAGGGCCUGUGCAUGCUGGGCAAAUGCUCUACACACCCAGCCCCAGCUCCCUCACUUGUAAGCAAUAGCUUAAAUGUUCACAUAUAUAUUUCAUGCUGCCUUACAUUAAAAGGUUUUGAAGGGCCCUUACUCAAGACCUGGGGAUGCUCCCGACUUCCAGGACCCCAGAACAUGCUCUCUACCAAUACACAGGGCACCCAUGCAUAUGUAUCCAGGCGCUUUGGCCCGUUUCCACUUUGGACCCAAAUAAUGUGGUGGUUAUGAGCAUAGACUCUGGGAGCCUUGAAGCCUUAGAUUCAGUCCUGGCUUUGGUAUCUGACCUUGGAGGAGUUAAUUCUUCUCAGUCGUAAGUGCUUCUCCAGUGAACUGGGGUCACUAACAGUAUCUACUGGUGGAGCUGUUGAUAGGAGCAAAUAAAAGGAAGCAAGUAAUCCAUUUAUCAGAGGGCUGAGACACAGGCCCCAAGGAGAAGGAGAGACAGUGAGACAGACAGACAGAGAGAGAGAAAUCCAGAUGGAGCUCAUCUCUCCUGCCCCUGCUUGGGAAUACUACGUGAACAGGUGGCCAUGCUGGGGAGCUCCUGCCUGGACCCACAGUACUGGACAGGGGAACUGACUACCCUUCUAGGUCCAGAGCGAAGACCACCUAUGAUCUACAGAAGAUCUAAGAGGGACAUUCCCUUUGAGUAAAUGCUCCAGAGUCUUCGAUAAGAGGUGAGGCGGUCAGCAUCAGCCAAGACAGGCCUGUGUGUCUAGUAGGCAUUUCCUACUGAGCUGGGGCCCCAAGGCCCGAGGAUGCAGUUCCUUCUCCUGAAACAUGAAAAUGUGGGGUACUGGACAGACCAAAUUAGGAGCAAAAGAGAUUUUAUUGUGGGCAGCUCAGCAAGGGACUUCUACUGCCUGAAGAGCCCCAAAUAGCAGUUUACUUUCAUUUUUUUCCUUUUGGCUUACGGGGGCGCUUUUUCUAAUUGGAGGGGAAACAGCAGAAGCUACAUAAGAGAGCAGCGGUUAAGGGAGCAGCACACUGGGGGCAACUUCCAGGACCAUUACGCCUCAGUGAGAUUGCACAGAGCUGUUGUUAGGGAUACUGUGUAUCUUCCCCAACAGGGCAGUCUGGGUUUCCUCUCACUCCCGAGCAAUUUUUCAUUUAUUUGGUUUUAAUGAUAAUCUUCCUCCAGAAGAACUUUACUUUAUCAAAGUUGGAAAUAGCCAAGCUGAGAGUUAGAAUUCUCAUGUUUCUGAUGCACGCAACAUCUUCAGUGGGGCUCAAGGGCCUUAUGCUGAGUCCAAGAAAUGCAUCUCCAAAAGUCACCUGCAGUGCGAGUCCUUGAAUUUAAAACCACAAAAUCAUCCAGAUGCAAGGCAGAGUAAGGGUUGCCAGAGGCUGGGGCAGGGGAAGAGUGGGGACCUCAGAGGUGGCACGAGCGAGCCCUUCCCAGGAAAGGCCGCUAGGGUUGGCAAACAGCUGUUCUGACGACUGGCACCCAGGCCCUGCGAUUGUGAAAUAUUUUGAAUAUAACUCUUAGUCUUGCAAGAUUUUGUUUUGUGUUCCAUGAAGUGAAAGCAACAACAAUAACAAUGGCAAGUGCACAACUCUUUGAUGAAACAUCUAUGCUUUCAGGAGUCCUGAAAGUUAACAAUUUUUUUUUUUUUUUUUUUUCCUAAAUGUAGGGUCUGCAAUAAGUAUUUUGAAUUUAACUGUUGGAAAGAAAUCUGUGGCUAGCUUCGUGACUUGUAACCAACUCUUCUUGCUGUUACCAUAUGGUGUUUCCUUUAAUAAAAACAUUUUGCAGAAAUAAUGAUAAAAAAUUACUUUAAGCUUUUAUAAAAGUUAGAAGUUCCUGGCAAUAAAAACACCGCUUAUCAUCAUGUGGAUCGCUGUGUGUCUGGUAAACAGGAAAAAUUCUGCUCUCCUUGCUGUUCUACUUCUAAGAAAUAAUGAUGCAUUCUGUGUGUCAUUCACCUGUGGGCAUGUUCUGAUCCUCUCAUUCAGCGACCUCGCUUUAGAGCGUAGUCAUGUGCAUUCAUGGAGUCUGCUCUAUUCAUAGGAUCCCACUUAUUUUACAGUUUGCAAUAGAACAACAUAUUCUCUCUCUUCAGAACUCUGGCACACGGUGUCAGUUCUGACAAGUUCAGCUGCUGUCAAAAAUAAAAAGAGACCUGGCUCAAACACAUUCGUAACUCCUGGAAGCACGUGGACAGCUGUCAGUGGGGACUUGAGGACAUGACCCAUGUCCCUUCUGUCCCACUGUCCCUUUGGCUGCAGGACGGCUGCUCAGGCCCCAUGGCAGCACUGCGGGAAGGGCAAAGGGGCAUGCAAAACAAAAAGCCUUCAGGAAACCUCACCCAGAAACUUCUGCUCAGUCUUACUGCAUAACCCUGGUCUCCUGGCCACCUCUCCGCCAGGGAGGAGGAGGUGACAGCUGACAGUUAGGUCAGCUAACUGAUGCUGUCCUCCAUUCACUCUGUUCCAGAAUGCGGAGAGGGCUCACUUGCCUUCCCAUGGGAUCUCACUUCUGGUGCAUAUUCUAUUUCUCAUUUCCUCCGCUGCCUUCAGGAUCUCUUUGAGUGGUUUUGCAUAUAUGUGUGAAGUGUUCACUGCUCAAUUUUACUUCUGUGACAAGUAAUUGUCCGAUCUCCCUUCAUGUGAGCUCAACUGUGUAGCUGCUUAUGUCUGUUACCUGUGACAUUUGAUUUCCUUUCCUUACUUUCAUUCAUCAGGCAAAGUGAAAGUAGAACAAGUUUAAGUCAGUGUCUUCAUGCAAAAUCGUCUGGCUUAGUGUGGGGGGAGGGUGGGCAGAGCCUCUUAUGCUAAUGGGAAGGUAGGGACAGGAAUGGCCCAGGAGAUGGAAUGCAAACGCUCCCAUAUGCAGCAGCUGAAGCAGUAAAUUGGUCUGCUAGGUAUUUAACCAUCUCUCUUAGAUACCUCACCCUUCUGGAUUAAAAAAAGAAGUGCUCUAGCACCUAAGAUGGUUUUAAAUUUAUAAAUGAGUUGAAUUCAUGCUGCUCUAUUUAAAGAUCUGUAGCCAUUUCCACAAUAAAUAGCAGGGGUACAAAUAACUUUCUAAAAAUUCCUUGAUAUUAAGCUGGGGACAUAAGAUCCCAGGUUUUUUUUUUUCAACAACUAAUAUUAUCAGUAGGGCUUUUUGUAUUUAAUCCACAAGAUAACCAGGUGGACAUUCGGUUGAUGUGGGCUGCAUCCUAUAAAAAGCAGUGGACCCUGUCGGGUCUUCUCAGAGGCAACAAGUCAGGAGGAGGGAGGCAGAGGAGGAGAGGAAGGAGACGUAAGAGAAGAAAGAGGGCAAGGAGGAGAACUGUGUCAACAGCCAGGCGGUCCCUGGAGAUGGAAGGCCCCAGCUGUGCUAACCAGCCUCGGAUGAGGCCUCAAAGCCUCACCCACCUCAGUUCCUGCCUUGUGUGUUCCCCUCACCCUGCACUGCACCAGGACUGGACUGUGGUCCACAGAUACAGCAGAAGGGAUGGUGUGUGAGCUCCAAGCUAGACCACAAAAGGCAAUGUGGGCUCUGCCUUGCCCUCUCUCUUGGGGGCCCCUCGCCCGCCCUCAGAGGUCAGCUGCUAUCCUGCCCUGCAAUCACCCACCUCAGUUCCUGCCUUGUGUGUUCCCCUCACCCUGCACUGCACCAGGACUGGACUGUGGUCCACAGAUACAGCAGAAGGGAUGGUGUGUGAGCUCCAAGCUAGACCACAAAAGGCAAUGUGGGCUCUGCCUUGCCCUCUCUCUUGGGGGCCCCUCGCCCGCCCUCAGAGGUCAGCUGCUAUCCUGCCCUGCAGGGAGGGCAGAUGGUGAAGAGCGGAGCCCUCCCUGCCAGCCAGUGGGUGGCCU